GUUACCAGGUCCAGUUACAACCAGGAUGGAUAGCCAGGUUAAGUCACAAUCGGCAUGGCUUAUGCUGCCAUGUUCAUAGUCUCCAUGGGGCAUGCUGUCAGGUUAAGUCACAAUCGGCAUGGCUUAUGCUGCCAUGUGUAUAGUCUCCAUGGGGCAUGCUGUCAGGUUAAGUCACAAUCGGCAUGGCUUAUGCUGCCAUGUGUAUAGUCUCCAUGGGGCAUGCUGUCAGGUUAAGUCACAAUCGGCAUGGCUUAUGCUGCCAUGUUCAUAGUCUCCAUGGAUCAUGCUGUCAGGUUAAGUCACACUCGGCAUGGCUUAUGCUGCCAUGUUCAUAGUCUCCAUGGAUCAUGCUGGCAGGUUAAGUCACAAUCUGCAUGGCUUAUGCUGCCAUGUUCAUAGUCUCCAUGGAUCAUGCUGGCAGGUUCAGUCACACUCGGCAUGGCUUAUGCUGCCAUGUUCAUAGUCUCCAUGAGGCAUGCUGUCAGGUUCAGUCACACUCGGCAUGGCUUAUGCUGCCAUGUUCAUAGUCUCCAUGGAUCAUGCUGGCAGGUUCAGUCACACUCGGCAUGGCUUAUGCUGCCAUGUUCAUAGUCUCCAUGGGGCAUGCUGUCAGGUUCAGUCACACUCGGCA